rnacentral:rRNA from 1 species
AAUAUUGGACAAUGUGGGCAACCCUGCUCCAGCCAUGCCGCGUGUGUGAAGAAGGUCUUCGGAUUGUAAAGCACCUUAUGUAGGGAGGAAGGGCUUUAGUCUAAUACCCUGAAUUUUUGACGUUACCAACAGAUUAAGCACCGGCUAACUCAGUGCCAGCCGCCGCGGUAAUACAGAGGGUGCAAGCGUUAAUCGGAAUUACUGGGCGCAAAGCGCGCGUAGGAGGUUCAGUAAAAUGGGUGUGAAAUCCCCGGGCUUAACCUGGGAACUGCUUUCAUAACUGCUGAGCUAGAGUACGGUAGAGGGUAGUGGAAUUUCCUGUGUAGCGGUGAAAUGCGUAGAUAUAGGAAGGAACACCAGUGGCGAAGGCGACUACCUGGACUGAUACUGACACUGAGGUGCGAAAGCGUGGGGAGCAAACA